UCUUGUGUGGAGAGAGACUUGUUGUUGAACGUGGGACAGGAGAAGCUGGAGCCACGGUACAGGUCAGCAUUCAGCCACAGGCCAAAUCCGCCCCUACACAAAAAGAAGGAGACGUCUUUUGUCGGUUGCUCAUGUUUUAUGCUCCCCGAUUGCAGCUUGCUCAAUCUCUGAUAUCUCACACUUAGCAGAUGCAAUAUUUACACAUUUGUCUUUUAUUUAUUCAUGACUAUGUCAGACUUAACUACGGCCUUUACCUUGGGCGGACGUGUCUAUAUUUUGGGGGAAAUCAAUAACCAUAUAACUUACCCUCCUCCACCAAUCUGUAGAGAUUCAAGGGUGCCGCUCAUGAAGUACGAGUUCUCGCCGCUCCACCUGUAUGCCUGGAUGAUGCCAAAUGAAAGGCUUGAGACAUCUGCACUCCAACAGUGACGAUAACAUCAAAGGAAAUAUGAAUAUCUUGAUGCCGGGCGUCCAGCAGCUGGCUCUGGUGCUUCAGGACGGGCAGGGUGUCUCGGACCGGCUCGUCUUCGGCCUCCUUGUCCUCCGAGCUGCUCAGACUCCGGCGCCGCGUGGCGUCCUUCACGAGGAUCACAUGCAGGCCUACCUCAACAUACGGCUCCACGCGGUCACGGGCAAAGUAAAGCACCGUGACGUUGUCUGGCAGCAGCUUCAUGGUUUCUGACUUCUCUUCCAGCCA